rnacentral:rRNA from 1 species
GACGAACGCUGGCGGCGUGCUUAAUACAUGCAAGUCGACUGAACUUAAGGUAGCAAUAUUUUAAGGGAGGUGGCGCACGGGUGAGUAACACGUAGGUAAUCUGCCUUUAGGACUGACAUAACCCAGAGAAAUCUGGGCUAAUAUCAGAUGAUGCAGCGGCUCGACAUCGAGACAGUUGUUAAACCUUCGGGGCCUAGAGAUGAGCCUGCGUCUGAUUAGGUAGUUGGCGGGGUAAUGGCCCACCAAGCCAUCGAUCAGUAGCUGGUCUGAGAGGAUGAUCAGCCACACUGGAACUGAGACACGGUCCAGACUCCUACGGGAGGCAGCAGUAAGGAAUAUUGCUCAAUGGCCGAAAGGCUGAAGCAGCAACGCCGCGUGGAGGAUGAAAUACUUUUGUAUGUAAACUCCUGUAAGAAGGGAAAAAUAUUCCGAUUUAUCGGGAUUGAUUGUACCUUCA